GCAAUAAUAGUUUAAAUUUAAAACAUUGGUCUUGUAAGCCAAAAAUGAAUUCUUUAUUUCUUAUUGCU
rnacentral:tRNA from 1 species